CAGUCGCCGCGGUAAUACGGAGGGUGCAAGCGUUGUCCGGAUUUAUUGGGUUUAAAGGGUGCGUAGGCGGCUAUUUAAGUCAGCGGUGAAAGACUCCGGCUCAACCGGAGCAGUGCCAUUGAUACUGGAUAGCUUGAGUGUUGGAGGGGUACAUGGAAUUGAUGGUGUAGCGGUGAAAUGCAUAGAUACCAUCAGGAACACCGAUAGCGAAGGCGAUGUACUGGCCAGCAACUGACGCUGAGGCACGAAAGCAUGGGGAGCGAACAGGAUUAGAUACCCCAGUAGUCCCUGUCUCUUAUAC
rnacentral:rRNA from 1 species